rnacentral:rRNA from 1 species
UCCNUUCUACCAUGCAGUCGAGCGGUAGAGAGAAGCUUGCUUCUCUUGAGAGCGGCGGACGGGUGAGUAAUGCCUAGCGAAUCUGCCUGGUAGUGGGGGAUAACGUUCGGAAACGGACGCUAAUACCNNAUACGUCCUACGGGAGAAAGCAGGGGACCUUCGGGCCUUGCGCUAUCAGAUGAGCCUAGGUCGGAUUAGCUAGUUGGUGGGGUAAUGGCUCACCAAGGCGACGAUCCGUAACUGGUCUGAGAGGAUGAUCAGUCACACUGGAACUGAGACACGGUCCAGACUCCUACGGGAGGCAGCAGUGGGGAAUAUUGGACAAUGGGCGAAAGCCUGAUCCAGCCAUGCCGCGUGUGUGAAGAAGGUCUUCGGAUUGUAAAGCACUUUAAGUUGGGAGGAAGGGUUGUAGAUUAAUACUCUGCAAUUUUGACGUUACCGACAGAAUAAGCACCGGCUAACUCUGUGCCAGCAGCCGCGGUAAUACAGAGGGUGCAAGCGUUAAUCGGAAUUACUGGGCGUAAAGCGCGCGUAGGUGGUUAGUUAAGUUGGAUGUGAAAUCCCCGGGCUCAACCUGGGAACUGCAUUCAAAACUGACUGACUAGAGUAUGGUAGAGGGUGGUGGAAUUUCCUGUGUAGCGGUGAAAUGCGUAGAUAUAGGAAGGAACACCAGUGGCGAAGGCGACCACCUGGACUGAUACUGACACUGAGGUGCGAAAGCGUGGGGAGCAAACAGGAUUAGA